AAGACUAUAGACCUGCGGAGUACCUGCGGAAGGAUCAUUACUGAGUGAGGGCCCCUCGGGGUCCAACCUCCCACCCGUGUUUAACGAACCUUUGUUGCUUCGGCGGGCCCGCCUCACGGCCGCCGGGGGGCUCCUGCCCCCGGGCCCGCGCCCGCCGAAGCCCCCCCCUUGAACGCUGUCUGAAGUUUGCAGUCUGAGAAACUAGCUAAAUUAGUUAAAACUUUUAGCAAUGGAUCUCUA
rnacentral:misc_RNA from 1 species